rnacentral:rRNA from 1 species
CAGUCGCCGCGGUAAUACGAAGGGGGCUGGCGUUGCUCGGAAUGACUGGGCGUAAAGGGCGCGUAGGCGGUUUGUACAGUUGGAUGUGAAAUUCCUGGGCUUAACCUGGGGGCUGCAUUCAAUACGUGCAGGCUUGAGUGUGGAAGAGGGUUGUGGAAUUCCCAGUGUAGAGGUGAAAUUCGUAGAUAUUGGGAAGAACACCGGUGGCGAAGGCGGCAACCUGGUCCAUUACUGACGCUGAGGCGCGAAAGCGUGGGGAGCAAACAGGAUUAGAUACCCGGGUAGUCCCUGUCUCUUAUAC